rnacentral:rRNA from 1 species
GCGCAGCAGGCAAGAAUUUUUCUCAAUGGGGGCAACCCUGAAGGAGCGACGCCGCGUGGAGGAUGAAGGCUUUCGGGUUGUAAACUCCUGUCAUUUGGGAACAAGUUGGACGCAGUAACCACGCGUCCAUUGAUAGUACCAGAAGAGGAAGGGACGGCUAACUCUGUGCCAGCAGCCGCGGUAAUACAGAGGUCCCAAGCGUUGUUCGGAUUCAUUGGGCGUAAAGGGUGCGUAGGUGGCGCCGUAAGUGGGGUGUGAAAUUUCGGAGCUUAACUCCGAAACUGCAUUCCAUACUGCGGUGCUUGAGGACUGGAGAGGAGACUGGAAUUCAUGGUGUAGCAGUGAAAUGCGUAGAGAUCAUGAGGAAGACCAGUGGCGAAGGCGGGUCUCUGGACAGUUCCUGACACUGAGGCACGAAGGCCAGGGGAGCAAACGGGAUUAGAUACCCCGGUAGU